GGUUCGGGAGCCUUCCGGUGGGACGGAAGGCAGGUAUGGAACCGCCCCCCCUUCAUUCGCCUUGCGGCGUGCAAUGGGCCCCGACAUUGCAUG
rfam:Thioclava sp. 25B10_4, complete genome.